GAUCUGGCUGCGACAUCUGUCCCCCCAUUGAUCGCCAGGGUUGAUUCGGCUGAUCUGGCUGGCUAGGUGUCCCCCUC
rnacentral:snRNA from 1 species